UACGUAGGGCGCAAGCGUUAUCCGGAAUUAUUGGGCGUAAAGAGCUCGUAGGCGGUUUGUCGCGUCUGCCGUGAAAGUCCGGGGCUUAACCCCGGGCCUGCAGUGGGUACGGGCAGACUAGAGUGCGGUAGGGGAGACUGGAAUUCCUGGUGUAGCGGUGAAAUGCGCAGAUAUCAGGAGGAACACCGGUGGCGAAGGCGGGUCUCUGGGCCGUAACUGACGCUGAGGAGCGAAAGCAUGGGGAGCGAACAGG
rnacentral:rRNA from 1 species